AUUCCCCUCUCUCCCCAUUCUCCUCUUUCCCUCUCGUUCUCUCUCCCGAUUCUCCUCUUUCCCUCUCUUUCUCUCUCCCGAUCUCCAUUUCCCUCUCCUCUCUCCUCUCUCUCUCUCUCACCUGCUCCAUCUCUCUCAUUCGCCUCCCUCUCUCUCUGUCCAACGCAUCUCCACCAUCUCUUCUAUCUCCCUCAUGUCAUCUUUUUACUUGGAUCUCCAUUGCAGCAGCCGCCGGAAGGAACCACGCCCACUUCGAAAGCCCCUUUUCAGAUUUUUGUGGCAUUUCUUAAAAUCGAAGGAAUCUAAAGCUCCUCUCUACAGAGAAGCGCAACAGAUUGAAUGAAGUAAGACCCAGCUACUCUGACAUAUGAAGUUAUCGUUCCUUAUGAUAGCUUGGCACCGACUCAUGAAGUUCCAUUUUGGCUUGUUCAUGACAUGGAUGUUCAAGACACCCUUUCAGAUAUAACGUAUGUGCAGGGUCAUAGAUUUGACCAAUCCCUUCAAACCAUGGCUUUUGGAUCAUGGGAUUGAGGGUUCUUAGUUCAAAAAGGAAAAAAGGAAAAAAGAAGAAGAAAGGAGCAAUGUUGGGUUCACAUUUUCCCUACUUGGAUGUAGGUAUUUUCUCAUGACUGCAUGCACGUAGGAAACUAGCUGAAACUUGUGUAGGCAACAUCACCAUCUGAGACUUUUGUACUAUUGUUGCUACUUCUUAGAACCCAAAACUAUAGCUAGAGGUGCAGUUGGACUUGACUGGCUUGCGGCAAGCUUGAGUCCACCCUAGCCAGGUUUGGGCUUAACCUAGAGGAUUACAAGUCACAUGUAAGCAGAGUUUUUAGUCCCACUCAUGUAGAUUGUAUGUAUGUGGAUUACAGAUAUACAAUAAUGGAACAAUGAUGUCACUUCCAUAGAACAAGAAGUUAUCACAGCUUACUACUGAUAAUGCUAGUGGGAAGAUCAACAACUUCGAAGACCUGGAACCGUUAGAGGGAUAGAAGUGCAGACUGAAUUCGAUGAUGAGGUUGAACACAAGGUUAUACUUAUUUAUCAGGCUCAGAUUGUGUUUGGACUUAGUUGAGGGCUCUAAAAAGCGAGGAGAAGGUCCAAAGGGACAUGGAUGGAGUAGUAAGAAGAGACUUGAUGACCGAUGGUCCAAGUAAUUGAAGAUCUUGCCCUUGAUAGAGUAGAAUGGUGGAGCAGGAUUCAUGUAGCUGACCCCAAUUAAGUGGGAUGGGGAUUCAUUUUGUCAUUUUUUUCUUGUUGUGUUGAACUUAGUGUCGGACCUGAAAUUGUAUUCUAAAGGAAUUUAGUUUUGGUCUUUAUUAAACUUCGAAAAUUGUAUUCUAAAGGAAUUUAGUUUUGGCCCAACUCAGCAACAAGACAGCUUCUUCUUCUUCUUUUCUUUU